AUUGAACGCUGGCGGCAUGCCUUACACAUGCAAGUCGAACGGUAACGGGCCUUCGGGUGCCGACGAGUGGCGAACGGGUGAGUAAUACAUCGGAACGUGCCCGAUCGUGGGGGAUAACGAGGCGAAAGCUUUGCUAAUACCGCAUACGAUCUACGGAUGAAAGCAGGGGACCGCAAGGCCUUGCGCGGACGGAGCGGCCGAUGGCAGAUUAGGUAGUUGGUGGGAUAAAAGCUUACCAAGCCGACGAUCUGUAGCUGGUCUGAGAGGAUGAUCAGCCACAAUGAGACUGAGAAACGGCCCAGACCCCGACGGGAGGCAGCGGUGGGGAAUUUGGGAAAAAGGGCGCAAGCCUGACCCAACCAUGCCGGGUGCAGGAAGAAGGCCUUGGGGUUGAAAACUGGUUUUGUGGGGAACAAAAACCCUUCUUUUAAUAAAGGGGGGUAGUAGGGGUACCGAAAGAAGAAGCACCGGCUAACUACGG
rnacentral:rRNA from 1 species